rnacentral:lncRNA from 10 species
GCCUCCCGAGUAGCUGGGAUUACAGGCGCGGGCCACUACGCCCGGCUAAUUUUUGCAUUUUUUUUCAAGAUGAAGCCCCCCCGCACAGUGCUCUAGUCCCCGGAGGGGCCAUCAGCUCCAGGGAACGUGUAAAGUGCUUUGUGGCUUUAAUAACGCGGUGGGGGAAGGCGGGCGCUUGCUGGUGUGUAAUGUCUGCCGGGGGAGAUGGAAGUCUGCAAUUGCAGGAGGAAACUCGGUCUCCGCACAGCUGCCCAGUGGAGGUUCAGCCGUGAAGGGUCCCGAGAGCCCGCGGUCUGGGCCCAGAUGUUCAAAGCAGACUCUUCAUAGCUGCUCAGGUGUCCACAAACGAUCGACAGAUAAGCCCAGCGUGGCCCUCCACACCAGGGAACAGGAUUCCACCAGGAAAAGAAUGAGGCCCGCACGGCUGCAGGGGGUGGAGAGCGUUUGGAACCAGACGGGAGUGAGGGUCACUCAACAUCGCAAAUGGACUAAAUGCUACCGAAUUGUACGCUUUAAAACGGUUCAUUUUAUGUGAUGUGAAUUUCAGCUCAAUAAAGAAAAAAGAUUUAAAAUGUGUCUUGAGGAGCCACGAG